rnacentral:rRNA from 1 species
UACGUAGGGCGCAAGCGUUGUCCGGAAUUAUUGGGCGUAAAGAGCUCGUAGGCGGUUUGUCGCGUCUGCUGUGAAAACUCGAGGCUCAACCUCGGACUUGCAGUGGGUACGGGCAGACUAGAGUGUGGUAGGGGAGACUGGAAUUCCUGGUGUAGCGGUGAAAUGCGCAGAUAUCAGGAGGAACACCGGUGGCGAAGGCGGGUCUCUGGGCCGAUACUGACGCUGAGGAGCGAAAGCGUGGGGAGCGAACAGG